GACGAACGCUGGCGGCGUGCUUAACACAUGCAAGUCGAACGGAAAGGCCCUGCUUUUGUGGGGUGCUCGAGUGGCGAACGGGUGAGUAACACGUGAGUAACCUGCCCUUGACUUUGGGAUAACUUCAGGAAACUGGGGCUAAUACCGGAUAGGAGCUCCUGCUGCAUGGUGGGGGUUGGAAAGUUUCGGCGGUUGGGGAUGGACUCGCGGCUUAUCAGCUUGUUGGUGGGGUAGUGGCUUACCAAGGCUUUGACGGGUAGCCGGCCUGAGAGGGUGACCGGCCACAUUGGGACUGAGAUACGGCCCAGACUCCUACGGGAGGCAGAAGUGGGGAAUAUUGCACAAGGGGCGGAAGCCUAGUGCAGCAACGCCGCGUGCGGGAUGACGGCCUUCGGGUUGUAAACCGCUGUCGCCUGUGACGAAGCGUGAGUGACGGUAAUGGGUAAAGAAGCACCGGCUAACUACGUG
rnacentral:rRNA from 1 species